GAAAAGAGAGUAGAUAGACAGCAGCAAGGGAGCAAGAAGGGCGACGGCAAAAAGGAAACAACAAGAAAAAGUAAGGGCAAGUGGCAGAGAGAAUGGUCAGUUUUUCUUCUUUCUAAAGAGAGAGAUUUUUGGGAGAACUGAUUUACUCAUAUCCCACUACCUACACUAACUCAACCACCCACUUCUCAGAUUUUCGAUACAACUCAAACUCUUAGCCACCAAAUCGAGCAAAAAUAAUCUCUUUUUCCCAUGCAAAGAUUCGAACACAAAA
rnacentral:lncRNA from 1 species